rnacentral:rRNA from 2 species
AACUUUCAACAACGGAUCUCUUGGUUCUGGCAUCGAUGAAGAACGCAGCGAAAUGCGAUAAGUAGUGUGAAUUGCAGAAUUCAGUGAAUCAUCGAAUCUUUGAACGCACAUUGCGCCCUGUGGUAUUCCGCAGGGCAUGCCUGUUCGAGCGUCA